GUAGGUCACAAGCGUUGUCCGGAAUUACUGGGUGUAAAGGGAGCGCAGGCGGGAAGGCAAGUUGGAAGUGAAAUCCAUGGGCUCAACCCAUGAACUGCUUUCAAAACUGUUUUUCUUGAGUAGUGCAGAGGUAGGCGGAAUUCCCGGUGUAGCGGUGGAAUGCGUAGAUAUCGGGAGGAACACCAGUGGCGAAGGCGGCCUACUGGGCACCAACUGACGCUGAGGCUCGAAAGUGUGGGUAGCAAACAGGAUUAGAUACCCUGGUAGUCCACACUGUAAACGAUGAUUACUAGGUGUUGGAGGAUUGGCCCCUUCAGUGCCGCAGUUAACACAAUAAGUAAUCCACCUGGGGAGUACGACCGCAAGGUUG
rnacentral:rRNA from 1 species